CGAGGAGCCGGGAGCAUGAGGACCUGGUGUCUGUGUCAGAUUUGUACUUGCGGGUCAGAUUAUCGUCCUUAUGAAAUAGACAAACAGCCUCGCCAUGCACCAGAAGAAUAUAAACCAAAACAGGGGGUGAUGGAUCUUGGCACCACCUACAAACGGGAUUUUAAUUCUUACAAAGUGCAUCCUGUGGUGAUAGUUCGGCCUCUGGAGAGACAACAAGUUAAAAAAGGAAAGCUGGACACUGUCCCAACCUAUAAAGAUGAUUAUAGAGCUUGGGACAUUCAGAAAAGUGAACUCUACAAGCCACAACAAACUUACUAUCCCCCUACUGUGAGAUUUGGAAAUUCAACAACAUUUCAGGAUGACUAUGUCCCUCGGGAGAUAAAGCCCAGACAAAGCUGUAAACCCAGCCCCGCGGUCGAACGCUCUACCAUCCCCUUUAGUGGUAACACAAGUCAUCGCCUUGAUUAUGUGCCUCAUCUACCCGAAUUCAAGUUGGCCAGGCCAAAAGACAGCUACAAGCCACCCGACCAGCCCUUGGAGGAUCUCACAACUCACCGAUGUGACUUUCAGGGUCUCGUCGGUGAAACGGCAAAGAUCUGCAGACCUGCACACACCAGAGUGGCCCAGGACGCUCCAUUCGAAGGAAGCACCGAGUUCCGGGACAGUUUUCAAGAGUGGGCACUCCCAGCACCGCAAGUACAGAAAGCGCCGGAGUACGUCCCUCCCGCAGGCACCAUGCAGCUGGAGAGCACCACCCACCUCGACUAUGUCCCGCAUCAGGCCACGCGUGUGCUUCCUAUCAGGCCUGCUUCUCGUAGGAGAAAUCAUAACUUUCCUUUCCAAGGAAAGAGCACCACGAAGCAAGAUUUCCCAGCAUGGGAAAGCUGCCGUCAGGGACUAAUUAAGCAGGAGCCGCAGAUCCCCAGCCCAUCCGGAAAAUUCGAUGGCCUGAGCACUUUCAGGUCUCACUACGUGUCCCAUGAACUAAUUCCCACCAAGAGCUGCAAACCUGCGGAUGCUCCCUUGAAGAGGUCGCUUCCGUUUGAUGACGUCACCACGUACUCUCUGGAGUAUAUGCCCAAGAAACUGGAGACCUGCCCGGCUAGCUACCCUUCCCCUCCUGGCUACCUGUUUGAAACUACAAAUUCCCGAGGUCAUAAAUUCUUCCGCAAGAUCCCUCCCGCGGUGAAGGCCUUCUAA
rnacentral:lncRNA from 1 species